GGAUGUGUAUGGAGAGCAGAUUUAAUAAUAAGCUUUGGGGUGUGGUGUAUCCACCGUAUUCUUGACCUGUCACUUUUGGAAAGCCGGCCAGAGCUAUGGGGAAAAUACACCUACGUGCUCAAUCGCCUCCAGGGCAUCAUCGAACCAGCUUUUUCGAAGCCCCGUACUCCUUCGGCCCCUUGUUUUUGCAUUCAAGUUCCAACCACGCACCAGCAAAAGUCAAGCCCCCCUCUUUCUAACGGGAUGCUACCCCCAACGGUAAAACCAGGCCGGGGAAAAUACACUACUGCAUCAUCGUUGCUUGAGCUGAUUAAAGAUGUGGAGAUCGCUAUCUCUAGCAGGAAAGGACGUACAGGUACUGCAGCUGGUGAGGUGGCUUUCCCAAAGGGGAAGGAAAAUUUGGCAUCCGUUCUUAAACGGUACAAGCGAAGGU
rnacentral:lncRNA from 1 species